AACAGGUGAAACUGAUUAAAACCCCACAAGCCCACUGCGUUGGAAACGACAAACUGAACGGACCAGACUGUGGAAGAGAAACCCGGAGUUAUGGACAAGCUUAUGGCGUCAGAAGCUGUUGGAUAUUACAAAAAAGGACCAGAAAUAUGGACCCGGUCAUCUCUGUGGGAAGAAGAAUUACCUUCAACCAUAAAUCAGUGGCACUACGUAUGAUAAAGAGACAAGAAAAGCUCCCCGGGGACAUCGAGAUCAUGACGUGCACAAAAGGAAUUAGUGGAGAUCCUCGAGUCGCAGGAUGACCUGAAGGCAUGAAAUCUGAAAGAUGGCCUUUGGGACCAACUUUUGUUAUGUUUUUCAGAAGUUCAAAUAAAAUAAAUGAUUAUAAC
ensembl:lncRNA